rnacentral:lncRNA from 1 species
UACGUGCACGAAAUAAAAAAACCUCAACCAACUUUAAAUGAGUUACACGGAGCAGCACAUACAGCCCUGAGCAAAUACAUCAAGAGUACCCUUGCCUCUGGGGAGAUGAGAUUCUUAUUUAAAGCUGUAGAACAGUGCUGAUGUACCUUCAGAACAGUUAAAAAAAAAAAAAAAAAAAAAACGAACAAAUGCAAAACUAGAACAGACAUUAUUCAUCAUCUGAGUUGGCAGAUCCUCCUCCUGCUCUUCUUUCUUGGGAGAUACUUACUUAGUGGCUACCGUGUGCUUGGCACUAAGAAUGCGGGCUACAAUACAGCCCCUCCUUCCCUGAGGAGACUCAGGAGGGCAGUGGGGUCAACUUAGUAAUAGCAGCAACUCCACAAGAGCCAAACACUCAGAGGGGGCUCAGGAAGGGACAGAGGGAAGAACCGUGUGGGAGUUUUCUUGUGCCUCCUAAAGGAAGCACGGUGCUCUGAAGCCAAGGUUCUGGGGAAGCCAACAUUGCUACGAACCUGGGCUUGCAGGACAAGUGUUCCCCACAUCUUCUGCAAAGCAAAGAUAGACUGCUAUCAACUUAAGAGAACUGGGUUCCAGAGGUGACUCUUCGGUAAGUCAUCAACCCCCACCUGCAUAGGAAAGACCCCUUUCCUAAGCUAGCCAAUGCAGGACACCUCGUGAACAGGACUUCUCAAUCACUGUAUUUUCAUAUAUUCACACGGCUUUCCUGCAAACUUUUAUUUAUUUAUUUAUUUAUUUUGGGACAGAGUCUCGCUCUGUCGCCAGGCUAGAGUGCUGUGGUGCGAUCUCGGCUCACUGCAACCUCCAACUCCCCGGUUCAAAGGAUUCUCCUGCCUCUGCCUCCCGAGUAGUCCUGCAAACUUUUCUUAAAUGACAUAUUUUAAAGAAUGUCCAUCUGAGUACAGCACAGAAAGGUUCUCCUGGUUAUGGUGGCUGCCUGAGUUCAGCAGUAACGACCAAGCCAGAGGACGGAACUGGCAAUCUGCAAGAGUCAUUGCGAUGGGCUGGAGUCCAGUCAGGGGAAAAGUGUUGGACAAGAAGAACCACAACCUGCUCAUCAACCGAUUCCAUGCCAGGGGAAGUCUACCCACAAAAGAACCUCCUCCCCUCAAGGUCC